rfam:Salmo salar isolate Sally breed double haploid chromosome ssa10, whole genome shotgun sequence.
UGCAUUCACUACUGUAAGUCGCUCUGGAUAAGAGCGUCUGCUAACUGAGUAAAA